GCGGGCCCGGCUCGUUGCGCCGCCGCCGGGGGCCGGUCUCCCGCCGGGCGCGGGGAGGGAAAGAGAGGCGGCGGCCCCCGCCCGCCGUAACCGCUCCGCACCCCGCCCGCUGGUGCCGCCCCCAGCAUGGCGACACCGUAGAGGAGCGGCUGCGCCGGGCGACCGCCCCCUCCCGCCUCCCUCGCACGGGCACGGCGCGCCGCGGGCGAGCGAGCGGCCUCGGCGGCGCUGCUGCCGCCGGUGCCCCGCACAGGGCUCAGUGGCGGCGGAGGAGGAUGGCGGCGGCGGUCGCGGCGGCGGCGGGCACAGCAGCAGCAGCGGCGGCGGGGCCAAGAGGCCGCGCGGCGGGAGCCAGCACCGUCCCGAGCAGCUCAUGGUGGCGCCCCGGACCCGCCAGCAGCGGCCGCGCCGGGGCCGCCAGCUGAGCCGGAUCCCGGCGGGCGGCUCUCCCCUCUCCACACCGACCCACCGAGCGACCCGUCCCCCUCCCCCGGCGAACCCUUUCCCUUCUCCCCGGCGCGACCCGCGCCUCGGAUCGCCCCUCCGGGGCCGGACUGCCACCACCCCCGGGCGCCGCGGGGAAGGCGGCGGCGAAGGGCACCGGGCAGCGCCAGGCGGCGGCGGGACCAUGGGCGCGAAGCAGAGCAGCCCCACCGCCGCCAAUGGCCGCACCCGGGCGUACUCGGGCGGGGAUCUGCCUUCCUCCAGCAGCAGCAGCAGCGGCGGCGGCGGCGCUAACGGGACCGGCGGGCGCUCGGCGGGCGCCGGCGGGCGGUACGCGCACCUGGCGGCGGCGCCUCACGCCGCUCCGGGCGGCGCGGCGGCGGCCGGAGGAGCGGCGGCGGCGGGGGGUGCCGCGGGGUCGGCACCCCGGAGCAGGUCCCUGGGGGGGGCCACGGCCUCUGGCGCCCGGGCGGCGCAGUCCGCCCUAAACAUCCUCCACAGCGUCGGCCCCUACGGCUCGCAGGACUCGGUCAGCAGCACCCCGGAGGAGAGCGGCCGGGAGCGGCCCGCGGGGGGCGGCGGCGGCGGCGGCGGCUCCUCCGGCAGCUCCUCCGGCGGGCCUCGGCUGGUGAUCGGCUCGCUGCCCGCGCACCUCUCGCCGCACCUGUUCGGAGGAACAAGUAGGUUAUUGGAUUCAAGUGCCCUGUAUGUUCAAAAUUUGUAUCUUCUGACGAAAUGGAUUUACAUCUUGUGAUGUGUUUGACAAAACCAAGGAUAACCUACAAUGAGGAUGUGCUGAGUAAAGAUGCUGGGGAGUGUGCAAUAUGCCUGGAAGAGCUGCAGCAAGGAGAUACUAUAGCACGGCUGCCUUGCCUCUGCAUAUAUCAUAAAGGCUGCAUAGACGAAUGGUUUGAAGUAAAUCGAUCUUGCCCUGAGCAUCCAUCUGAUUAAGACAAGAUUCAUGUUUUUAGCUGCUUCCACUGAUCAGAAAACAUAGGAGAUGUGAGGUUCCCUUGCUGAACACAGCAUGCCUGGCUUGAGACUUAGAGUUCUUUGUGGCUGAAAAAGGCAAAGACGGACAAUGACAUGGAAAAAACAUUGCAGACACCAGUUACUUGCCAGUAGUGCUCAGUAUACCAAACACUCAUGCAAAGGACAUACAGGGAUUUUGAAAAUGCUGCACAUCCUGUAACAAUCGACUCCCCACAGACAUUACUGACACUAUUUUGUAUCGAAGGCCAAAGUUCCUAAUUUCAGCCUAACUUCUGGUUCUGUGAAGAAGCGAGUUAUUGGACAUGUUUCCUACUGCCUCGAGUGGAAGCGGAGAUGUUCGAUACGUGCUGUCUGAGACCCUUGCAGGAGGAUGGCCCCGGAUUUGAGUGGGAACGUUUUCACCUUCUCGUUGGCUGAAGAAUAGUAAAUGGCAAACUAAAUAAAUUCUAAUAGUGUGACCUUAAUUUACUGAAUUCACACCCAGUUUUAUGUUCUUCACUUUUUUCAAGAACAGAAAACAUAAACUGCUCUGCGUAGGAAUAUUUCAAAAUUUUUUAACUAAACCUUUGUCACAAUGCAGUCCAAAGAGUAAAACCAAGACAGGUAACUAAUUUAUAUUGAUCAAGCUAUAGAGAUUGUUGAGAUCUGCACAUUGUAUUGCUAUUUAAGUAACUAAAACAUCUCUUUUACUGCUUGUGAGUAAAAACUACAAAAAAAAAUGCAGCAAAGCAAAAUCUUACAGCUAUGCAACUUUUUUUAAAAUAGGAAAAAGAAAAGAAUUACCAAUUUUAAGUGCUGCCAGUUAAGGUAAUUUGUUUAACGGGUAUUUUUUUAAAGAUGUUUCAGGUAAUUAUUUUAUUGUACUACUCUCAUCUCCAGGCUGCCUCCUGAGGUGUAAAUGAAUAACUGCAAAUGUGGGCACAGCGAGAGGUUUUUAUAGGCACAGGCGAGAGAACAUCGAGGUGGGAUUUGUGUUUAAUUUUUAAAACAUGCGCAAGUUCAUGUUUCCUUGUUUGAAUGUUUUUUUGGUGGCAGGAUCUGUAGUACUUUGCAUCUAAACCCUUGGUCUCUUCAUGUGGAGACCAGCAUUU